UACGUAGGGGGCUAGCGUUGUCCGGAAUCAUUGGGCGUAAAGAGCGUGUAGGCGGUCCGGUAAGUCCGCUGUGAAAGUCGGGGGCUCAACCCUCGAAUGCCGGUGGAUACUGUCGGGCUAGAGUGCGGAAGAGGCGAGUGGAAUUCCUGGUGUAGCAGUGAAAUGCGUAGAUAUCAAGAGGAACACCAGUGGCGAAGGCGAGUCCCUGGACAACACCUGACACUGAGGCACGAAAGCUAGGGGAGCAAACAGG
rnacentral:rRNA from 1 species